CUACACUCCUGCGGGAGGCAGCAGUGGGGAAUAUUGGACAAUGGGCGCAAGCCUGAUCCAGCCAUGCCGCGUGAGUGAUGAAGGCCCUAGGGUUGUAAAGCUCUUUCACCGGUGAAGAUAAUGACGGUAACCGGAGAAGAAGCCCCGGCUAACUUCGUGCCAGCAGCCGCGGUAAUACGAAGGGGGCUAGCGUUGUUCGGAUUUACUGGGCGUAAAGCGCACGUAGGCGGACUAUUAAGUCAGGGGUGAAAUCCCGGGGCUCAACCCCGGAACUGCCUUUGAUACUGGUAGUCUUGAGUUCGAGAGAGGUGAGUGGAAUUCCGAGUGUAGAGGUGAAAUUCGUAGAUAUUCGGAGGAACACCAGUGGCGAAGGCGGCUCACUGGCUCGAUACUGACGCUGAGGUGCGAAAGCGUGGGGAGCAAACAGGAUUAGAAACCCCGGUAGUCCCAUGAU
rnacentral:rRNA from 1 species